UGGAUAACAAGUAGCAUGUUUGUGUGUGUGUCUGCCUGGAGGGAGCUAACUGACCCAGGGUCAACACUGAGAUCUACAGACUGCAUAGUCCUACUGUGCGCAUGUCCUACAGGAAUUGCAUCACUGAGCUUUAAAAAACAUCAAGAUAGCUGUUGGAUGCUUGCAAGCUGUCCUGACACCAAAUUAUGCACAGUGUGUAGUUUCACCUAUUCCAGGAAGGACCGGAUACAGGCACUGUCGUUGGAAUAUCAGCACAAAGGUUACGCCAAGUGUCUAUACACCAUACAAGCACCCUCCAACACUUACAUAGAACUCAAUUUCACCGAUCUCAUUGGCUUCCAGCCUCAUUUUGGUCCUGCAAGCUCAACGGACCCUAAUUUUCAUUUACCCAAUUCUCAAUCAUCAGCAUCAACGUUGUUGUCGUCCUCGUCACCGCUGUCAUCGUCAUCAUCAUUACCUGUGUCUGCUAAAGCAGAACAUUGCUUGCCACCCGAGCUUGUUAUAAGUCUGUUUACAGAAGGCCAUAGGAGCCACUCGAAAACUUUUAGGUUUUGUAAAACGAACAAUUUCAAAACGCCUCGAGUCUUUCAUUUCAAUGUCAACUCCCUGCAGAUAGUUUAUAUAUGGGAGGAGAAUGUACACAGUGGAUUUUCACUGGAUAUAGACUUCCAUCAACGCAACAAUAAAUGUGUGUUUUACUGCACUGAUCUGACAUGUUUGACGUCGGAGAAACUUCUUUGUGACAAAGUCUACAACUGUGCAGACGGGUCCGAUGAGUCCAACUGUCCAAGUCUACCCCUUCAAUCUGACGGUGCUUACCAAUCUCUAACUACAGUAGUUGUGAUCGUGCUGUUUGUAGUGUUAAUGCCGGUGCUGGCCGUGUUUAUAUGCGUUGUGAGCCCCUGCAGAUCUACGUCUCGUAUGUGGCGUCGCUGGAGGACCCGAGACCGAGGUGUGGACCAUCGUCAGUUACGGCCAGACUCUCAAGGAUCAGAGGUUGUAUUCAUCCCCCCUACCACAUCGUCCCCUAGUUCUACAACCACGCCGGCCCACCUAGAGCAGCAAAUUGCCCUGAUGAGGGAGCGCCACACACUUUUACAGUCGGCGCGCACUGGCAUGGAGAUAGGCAUGCCCUCCUCGGUACACAUCUCCCAGGAUGGCGAGGAGGGGUAUGCCGAGAGCCAGAAACAGCUGGCCCAUCACUCAAAACAGGAGAUCUACCAGCCCUGCUUUAGACCUCCGCCUAACAAGACAGUAUACGACAAGGAUAGUCCCCCGCCGUACUACGCUGUGAAGGGCCUCGGCCCAUCCUCCCAGGGGGUAUCCCCCGGGGCACUGGUACAACACUCAAAUGGCUGCUCCAUGAUGGUGCAGUGUUUUAAUUUGUCAAAUAACAAUGAGCAGCACAGUGAUGGCUGCCUGCGACAGCCCAAUCAGUGUAGGACUAGUGGCCGUGGUGGUGUGUCUCCUAAUGUCGGCAGUGCCCCACGUGUACAUGUCGCGCACGAUAGUGCAAUAGACCUUGGACGGCAUAGUGCGUCUGGGCUUGACCGACCGCCAGACUACAGUGCGGUGCUAGCAUCUAGGACAAGUGUGUGUAGUAACAAUAAUAAAUCCCCUGCGGGCGGACAUGUCUGAUAGCGACCAUGCUGGCGACAUCUAGAGGAGGGAGGCGCGGUCAAGGUUAUGGAUGUAGGUCAAAGGUCAUAUGGAUAAAGCCAGCUGUGAUACAGAUUUUGGGGAAGUGAAUUACAACAUCAUCUAAUUAAUGCUUUUACUUUGUAUUGUGAGAUAAAAAAAAUGACAAAAAUACACAAAAAAAAAAUAAAAACCAAAAACUGAUUGAUUCCUCUGUGAGAGCUACACAAUACCAAGGCCACUGAUUUGUAUUGUAAAGAAAUUGUGUCCCUCAUUUUACGAGGGAAAACAUUUGUGCAGACUACGUUUUAAACCCCUCCCCCCCACAUUUAUGGAGAAUAUCUUUGUGCUCAAGGUACAACAGUUGUUAUAGUAAGUCAUCAGAUGGGUAGGCACCCUAGGUGCUGCAUAUUUCCAUUUUCUGUUGUACAACCUGAUCGUCCGGCUACACGCACAGCGAGCGUCGAGGUGUGACGUGUAUGUACAGUCGCGCUAGUGAUCCUAUAUAGGUAAACCCAGUCUGUCAAACAGCCUUACUUCUAUAUAAACAUCAGUGUAUGUCUGUCUGCCUGUCCAUCAGUGGAGGACCAUGUCUCCCACGCUCAAGCGACCCUGCGAUCAAGGUCACUCCGGGUGGACUAUGUGCUUGUAUCUGGAGUGUCAGGGAGUUCAACACUUGUGUAAAGUGUUUGUACUCGAUCCAGAGUCUAAGCUGGCUAAAUAUCAUCCUCAUGCUUGUGUUGUUUUUAAGAAGAAGCUUUUUUUGUCCAAUUUUACAGCUAUGAUGGUGAUCUUGUUGACUUAGUGUGGAGAAUGAGGUUAGUGGUUACUGUAGUACUGCUCUGCCUAGUGUGGAGAAUGAGGUUGGUGGCCACUGCAGUACUGCUCUGCCCAGAGUGGAGAAUGAGGUUGGUGGCUACUGCAGUACUGCUCUGCCUAGUGUGGAGAAUGAGGGUGGUGGCCACUGCAGAACUGCUCUGCCCAGUGUGGAGAAUGAGGGUGGUGGCCACUGCAGUACUGCUCUGCCCAGUGUGGAGAAUGAGCUACUUCAACAGAUUACUGCGGUGAAGAAUAUGAUCAAUUAAUACUCUAAAACCUAAUUACAGAUUUCUUUUUAUCAAUUGUCAUUUCAAGUCUGUCUGAAUAUAGCUAUAUUUAGUAAGUUAUCAAAACAAAAUUGUGUUUUCUGGUCAUUACUUGAACAUUAAUUUACAUGAAAAGCUACAAAUAUUUCGGUGAGAAAAAAUGGAUUGAAAUAAUAUCAGCACAAGUUUUUAUAUUGUUUGAAGUUUAUCAGCAUCCCAGUUAUAGACAGGUAACAAACCUAUUGUUAGACAGUUGUCGGUCAAUUUUCCUAUGAAUUUUACUAAAGUAAAUACAUAGAGCUUUAUUAUUAUACUUAAAACUACAGCAAAUAACAUUCCUGGCACAGAAGUACAGAGAAGAAAAGAAAUGGCCGAUUUGUCAUGGUACAUUGGGUACUCUGGUCCUGUCAAAUGUCGGUUUAGGAAGACCUCUGGAACUGUUUGGAAACUGUGAAAUCAGAUAUUUUCAUGAGGCUCAAAUUUCGUGGUUUCCUGAAAAAACACUAUUCCGUGGGUACAUGAAUUUGUGGAUCACGAGUACCCACUAACACAGAGAAUGGCUUAAUGUCAGACUGUGUAGACCUUUGAAUUCGUGGAUGAAAAUUACUCCAGAAUCAAUGAAAUUAUGAACCCCACAAAGACUAGUGAUUUCACAGUAUGUUCAAUGAUAAACUCUAUCAUAGUCACCUGGACUAAUUUUAUUGUAUUCUUGACAAUCACAUGUAUUUCAAAACGGUUUGUAUCAAGUUGUAUGUACACAGUAUGUGGAAGCUAAUUCACAGGAAAAACAGUGGUUUGUAAAACCCAGUGUCAUAAGUGUGCGGAUAACAGUAGUUUAUAAAAGUGUGGUGUCUUUGGUGUGUGGAUAACAAAGAUAGUUGAACUCAUUCACCGCUGAAGACGCAUUUGAACUCUUCCAAUCCAUAGGUCGGAAUAGUUCAUUAUGAAAUAUCAGGGGUGAAUGAGUUAAUGGGACAUAUGAAUACACACACAUUCUGUACAGUCACUAGAAAUCUACAACGUUCAUCCCUAUGUUCCUACUUGCACUCCACUCUCCCUUUGAAGUGAAUCAGUCUAAGUGUGGGACGAGGGUGGAGAGGUCAAGACCAGGCCAAUCGCCUCACCAUUUUUGUAUAACAUGUGAACCAUUAGAGGCAGACUUCUAGACAUUGUUUCUGGAUAUAAAUUAUUGAUGUCACAGAUAAAAAUAAAGUCUGACUAAUAUUUUAUUUUUUUUUAAGCCAGGGAAAGAAAGUUUUAUGGGUUCUUGUUUUCUUGUUGAAAUUGGUAGUACAUUUUUGUUGUUAAUAAAGGUAUCUGUAUAAAGUUUUCAAACGGUCUACAAUAAACUGAAAAAAUAGACUGGAAGUCUGCUCGAAUGUUCACCAUUUUGAAAAGCCUUGGUAAAGGGUGGGCUCGAGGUGUAGAAUUGGUCACAUACCUGUAACAGUGGAGGUAAGGGUGGGCUCGAGGUGUAGAAUUGGUCACAUACCUGUAACAGUGGAGGUUCAGUAUGAGCAAAUUACAAUGAAUUGAAAGCAGUUAAAACUAUAAUUUAUUACACUGUCAAUAAGGGUGUUCCAAGGUUGUAAGGUACGGUUUGUUUUGAACAGAAAACAUUCAUAUAAAAUGGACUUGAAGCAUGAAUGUUUUAGUCUCCCUUUGUAUACACAGGUUGAUUUGGUAUUGCAGAGCUUCCUUUGUUUAUUAUUCACAUUGAAUGCAGCAACUGAGAUAGACCCUUACUCAAGUGUUCAUGUAUAAAAGGCCCAAACUCCUUAAAACAGUUUAGUUUUCACAAAGUAAAUUUUUGUCAUAGUGCAUUUAUCAUUGAUUGACAAUUUUAUCCACAAACAAUAUUAUAAAAAAAAUCUUUUGUACUCAAAAAUGAAAUGAAGAAAUAGAUACGUAUUUUUCCAAGCUUAGGUUUUUCACCGGAUUACUUUACGAGAAGUGAAAAAGACAUAAUUUUGAAAAACCAAAUUUUACUGGAAUUCGCAUCAAGUGCAUUACCUGAAUAUUGCAUUAUGGCACAAACUUCAUUUCGUGAAAACUUGUUCAUGCUUCUGUAUUAUAUUAAAAAGAAAGUUGAAUUUCAAUAUGGACAGCCUAAGCCAUCCAGUAUAAAAAAUUUCAAGUUGCUUAAAGUGACUUUGUUAUGUUGAAACUGUGUGUUACAAAUUGUACUAAAGUUUCUUUUGUAUGGAGAAAAAUGUAUCUUCAGUUUAAAUGAAGGACAUGUUGCUUAUGUUUUACUGUACAAUAUAUAUAUAUGGAAGAAGGGAGAUAAUUCCCAUAUUUUUCUGAUAGAAAAAAAAGUAUGUUUAAUUUAUUUCUCUGUUGUAUUUUUUCAUUUUUUUUUUUGUUUUUACUUACGAAGUAACACUGAUAUGUUUUGCAUUUUCAUUUGAAAGUAUUCAUCAAGAUGUUUUAAAUUAAAAAUAUAACUUGCUCUUGUUAGUUGUAACUGGCUGCUUUUAGCAGCAAAAGUUGUCUGAUAAGAAUGGAUGGUUGAAAACAACAAUUCUCAAUGCACAGCCCAAAUGUGUUUUACAAGUGUGUAAAGAAUUGCUUGUUAAAUUUGUUACAAAGUAUUGUUAUUUCAAUCUAAUGCCCCUACAUGUUAUAUAACUGUAGUGUUUUGUUUAUGUCGAGAUUAGGUUUUGAAAUGGACUCUCUCAAUCAUUAGACAUUACCUUCAUUUCCAUUUGACUUCCAAAAAUAUUUCUCAUGAAAACGAACAACACACCCAAUUAAAUGAUUGAUUUGAUAUUUAAUACAAAUAAAUGUAAUUGGACAUUUAAACAAAUUUACAGUCAUAUUAUUGUUAAAAAAGAAAGAAAAAUAUUUUGUUUGAAAAUAGAUAAAGGAUAUUUAGGGUUUUUAUUCUUUCUCUUGUAGAAAUAUGGCCACACUUCACCUUCAAGUAAAUACAUGUACAUUUGUAUCUAACAUAAGGAAUGACCAAGUGUUGUGUUCACAAGCCUAUCAUCCCUAUUGCUGAUGUAUUCACCCCCAGGGAAAUGUCCUUUUAUCAACUUAGUGGUGUAGGCAGUUAUUGCUAACUUUUAAUAAUAUUAUAAGAGUAAUCUUUAUUAGAAAUAAUUGUACUUGAUUUGUUACAACCAAUAUGAUUGUGUUUUAGUCACGACAGUCAAAGUUAAACCCUUUCAUAAAUGUAGACCAUAAUGAACUUGUCCAUAUCAAUGCACAGUAGAGUCGACUCAGGUUACCUAGGUACGAACAGAUUACUUACAUGUACAACCAGGAACAGAGGUUUGUUGUCUAGAACACUUUUAAUUGCAUUUAAUUGUUUUAAACAGAUUUUACAACCUGGUUUGUGAAUAUCUUUUAUGGAAAUUGAGAUAAGUAAUUUUUCACCGACUACUCGGUCGAUGUAACGAAGGUAAUGUCCAAUGAUACGUGUGAUGUUUAAUGUUGAUAUUUUUACAAACGAAAGUAAAAAAGUUAACAAUUUCUGAUUAUCGUUUAUCCUUUCAUGAUCCUUCACGGAUUACGAGUGACCUUUCAAGGUCAACGGUCAGUGAUGGUUCGGCCACUAAAUCUGCUAUGUGCCAUAUGUUUUGACUGGUUUGUUCAGUGAUGGUGGAUCCACGUUAAAUGUAAGCUGCUGCCUUCCAGUAAUACACAGUUACAUCCCAAACUGUAGAAAAUUUUAGUAAAUAUUUUCAUCAAAAACUUGAAAAUAAUUGACAAGUCAAAUUUAAAAAUAAUACCAAUAGCAUAAUGAUUGUCUUUAAGGGCUGUUUCAGUUAUAAUUUUUACGUAGGAAAUCUAUAAUGCUCCCAUGUUUUGAAAGAAAUUGUUUUUUGGGGAGCUGCUGCAAUUUUUGUUCCCAUUUGAUUGCCCCGAUCGCGGCACUAGCUGAGAGGAAUCCUUGAUUGCCCCGAUCGUGCUGCCCUAGCCGAGAGGAAUCCUUGAUUGCCACGAUCGUGCUGCCCUAGCCGAGAGGAAUCCUUGAUUGCCCCGAUCGCGCUGCCCUAGCCGAGAGGAAUCCUCAAUAUAUAUAUCUAUCUGUUACUUGCCACCAAUCUUGAUCAGGCCAGUCAUUCUCCCACUUUCCAUCUUGCUUUUGAACACUUUGGGUGCAUAUCAUUUUUUCUCACUGCAUGCUUAAUGUGUGGGAGAGAGCGGUCACUGACCAAUAUAUUACACAGGCUCGGUCACUGCAGACAGAUUGUGUGGUGUAGAGCGGUCACUGUGACCUACACUCGGUCACUUCAGACAGAUUGUGUGGGGCAUAGAGCGGUCACUGUGACCUACACUCUGUCACUUCAGACAGAUUGUGUGUGGCAUAGAGCGGUCACUGUGAUCUACACUUGGUCACUUCAGACAGAUUGUGUGUGGCAUAGAGCGGUCACUGUGACCUACACUUGGUCACUUCAGACAGAUUGUGUGUGGCAUAGAGCAGUCACUGUGACCUACACCUGGUCUGCCACUACUGUGUUUGGUAGAAUGGGGUGGAGGUGGCCUGUAUGUUACACUAGCUCUGUCACACUAUACAGCUUGUGUGGGAGGAGUGCGAUCACUGUGACCUGUUAACUACAAUCACUCGGUCAGUACAGACAGAUUGUGUGUCAUAGAGAGGGGUCACUGUGGCCUGUUUAUUACACUUGCUUGGUCACUUCAGACAGCUUGUGUGUGUAUGUGCAUGUAAGAGGAGAGAGAGAGAAAUUCAAAACUAAAAAAAAUUAUUGUGCGAGUUGAGUGUGGAGCAAGUGGGAUGCUGUUUAAGACUUUGAACAGCCUGGGUGAGUGACAUUGUGUCCAGUAGCUGUAACAGCCUCGAUGUAAGGGAAUGUAUUCAGCAGAUGUAACAGCCUGGAUGUGUGGGAAUGUGUCCGGUAGCUGUAACAGCCGGGAUGCAAGGGAAUGUGCCCAGUAGAUGUAACAGCCUGGCUGUAAGGAAUGUAUGUCCAGUGGCUGUAACAGCCUGGAUGUAAGGGAAUGUGUCCUGUAGCUGUAACAGCCUGGAUGUAAGGGAAUGUGUCCGGUAGCUGUAACAGCCUGGAUGUGAGGGAAUGUGUGUCCGGUAGCUGUAACAGCCUGGAUGUAAGGGAAUGUGUCCGGUAGCUGUAACAGCCUGGGUGUGAGCCAAUGUGCCCAGAAGCUUAGAGGAGCUGGUCUGUAUGAGAAUAAGUGUCAUCACAUGAUGAAUGGUCUCUCCUUGUGUAUCUACAUAUAAACUAUUUUUAUUUAUAAUUAAUGGCAAGCAGAGACAGAGCCCUCUGCUGAAGAUUAAAAUAUAAGUAACUUA
rnacentral:misc_RNA from 1 species